GACCGGACAGUGAUCAGCAGGGCAGGGGGAGCCACAAGCUAUGCCUCCUGCCACCCCAUCCGCCCAGCUCUAUGCAUGAGCCUAGAGAAGCUCAAGGUCAGCCCAUCUCAAGCUUUCAUCUCUCUGAUGACACUGUGGGUAUCAAGAAUCUCCCUGACAAAUGGAAACAGAGCUAUUGUUGCCAGUAGCUGAUGGAAUUGGAAAAAUGGAAGCCAAAGUAUCCAUCUCACUCUCUGGCCAGGUGCUAGGAGCCAGGUUUGAAGACAGAGAGGCGGAAUAGUCCCCAAGGAUAUCCUAAUACAUCCUAUACAUCCUAAUCUCUCCUUCAAGCCUGUGCUGUGAAUAUAUUCCUUUAUGUGGCUAA